GAAAACUCCCCGUCCUACUCACUCUCUCAACUUCUCUCUAAACCUUGUUUGUCGUCUCUAUCGCUUCUCUAUCGCUUCUCUAUCGCUCAUCCCAAACCUAUCUCAAACGCAAUCACCUCUCUCAAUCUCUUCCAAUCGCGUCUCUCUCACCCUCAAUCCUCUCAAACCUAAAGACGCCACAUAAGAGAGAUUCAGAGGGAAAACGAAGUGGUGCUCACCUUUGGAUAUGAUUCGGUGGUGGCAGCGAGCUUGCAAUGAGCUCUCUUUGUUAGGGUUACAAAUUGAUGCUCAAGAGUUCGAAAGGAGAAAGUUCCAGGAUUGCUUUUGGAUGCUCAGAAUUGGAGUGCCUUCUUUGAUCAUUGGACUCGGAAAGUGAAUUUCUUGGCCUUCGAUGGAAACUUAGGAGUACUGGCAGCAGCCUUUUCAGUCCUUUUUGGUAAAAGCAUUGGGUUGAUGCUUCUUCCGCCAUGGCCAAAUUUGAGACGAAUACACGCUGAGAUGAAUACACGCUUAGAGGCGUGAACGUGAAGAUUAUUGAGUUUCUUGACAAAAUAGGAGUUUUUCCCCUUGAGGAUGACGACUCAUCAUCCAAAGCCAAAAGAGAAUGUAAUUGCAGUAGAGAAAUUAUUGCAAACGCUCCCCGGUUUUCACACGAAGUUUGUCGGAAUCAAGAUUUUCUAGCUUGCUAACAACAGGAUUGAAUUGGAACGGUAUAUCCAAUUUUUCAGCUUCUUCGGAAAGCUUAUGAGCCAAUUUGAUCCGAGACCUCUUUUAAGCGAGUGGACCUACUUCUCAAAAUCUGCGUAUGGUCGACAAUAGCAUCCGAUAGAGUUGAUGAUUUCUGCUCUCUAAGAUCCAGCAACUUCUUUGUAGCAUAUCUAACAGUACUAUGAGGUUUACUUAAUCCUCCAAGAAGAGACCCACAAAACGAUGGCUUGAUUGAAGAAUUCAGAUUAGACAAACACCCCUCCAAAUCCCAGCCACCCCAGACUUUACUGUCAAAUUCUAAACCAGAGGAUGACGUGGGAUUAACCGUAGGUAUUUGGAAGGAGUUAAAGACGGUUUGGUGGUUUGAAAGUGGACGGUUAUUGCAGAGGAAAAACGAGAAUGAUGCAUGCCUAUCCAAUUUACUCUGCAAAUCUGGAGAGUGCUGAGAACCCAAUCCCUUGGACAAGUUUGCAGAUAUAUCAACUAGCAUGUGCAAACCAAUCGAUUUUUGAGGAAGGAAGUGUUCUAAACAUCUCAUCUGUUGUAGACUUUGGGGGAAAAUCAUACAACCUGCAGCAAGUUUGCUUCGACCCGCUGAGAUGUCGAGAGUCAUGAUUUUGCCAGGUUAUUUUCUACGGCAUAUGAUUGCAAUAUGAUAAUAAGCCUCCUCCUAGUACACCUUAAACCCUGCUCAUUCUCUUUCAGCAAAAACCGGUAAACGUCAUGCUUGCUGUAAUUGCAUUAGCACAUCAAUGUACUAAUCUGGUUAUCGUCAUUGCAGGUAGGACCUUGAUCAUCAUCGCAUCCCAUUGCAUAUACCUGCAAUCAGACUUACAACUUCUAUGCCCCAAAGAUAGACUCCCUGCUGUGAUGUGUGCAUUCUGCUGUCUGCCGAAAUCAAUUAAUGUUCAAAUUUAUUAAUUUUUUUCAGCAAUCCAUUGGCCCAGUCUUGGAGACUCAUUUUUUGACAAGCAUCAAGGGCUCGUUCCAACAUGCGAAGAGCCGUAAGGAAAUUGAAUGAGGCAAAGAGAACUUUGAAUCUAGUGCACACUACAAUGCUGAUUUUGGAAAAGAAUAAAAUCUAAUGUGAAAUUCUCAGAGCCAUGGAUAUGAAACGCAAGCUGCU